AAAUUGAAGAGUUUGAUCAUGGCUCAGAUUGAACGCUGGCGGCAGGCCUAACACAUGCAAGUCGAACGGUAACAGGAAGCAGCUUGCUCUUCGCUGACGAGUGGCGGACGGGUGAGUAAUGUCUGGGAAGCUGCCUGAUGGAGGGGGAUAACUACUGGAAACGGUAGCUAAUACCGCAUAAUGUCGCAAGACCAAAGAGGGGGACCUUCGGGCCUCUUGCCAUCGGAUGUGCCCAGAUGGGAUUAGCUUGUUGGUGGGGUAACGGCUCACCUAGGCGACGAUCCCUAGCUGGUCUGAGAGGAUGACCAGCCACACUGGAACUGAGACACGGUCCAGACUCCUACGGGAGGCAGCAGUGGGGAAUAUUGCACAAUGGGCGCAAGCCUGAUGCAGCCAUGCCGCGUGUAUGAAGAAGGCCUUCGGGUUGUAAAGUACUUUCAGCGGGGAGGAAGGGAGUAAAGUUAAUACCUUUGCUCAUUGACGUUACCCGCAGAAGAAGCACCGGCUAACUCCGUGCCAGCAGCCGCGGUAAUACGGAGGGUGCAAGCGUUAAUCGGAAUUACUGGGCGUAAAGCGCACGCAGGCGGUUUGUUAAGUCAGAUGUGAAAUCCCCGGGCUCAACCUGGGAACUGCAUCUGAUACUGGCAAGCUUGAGUCUCGUAGAGGGGGGUAGAA
rnacentral:rRNA from 1 species